rnacentral:rRNA from 1 species
UACGUAGGGGGCAAGCGUUGUCCGGAAUUACUGGGCGUAAAGCGUGCGCAGGCGGUGAUGUAAGACAGAUGUGAAAUCCCCGGGCUCAACCUGGGACCUGCAUUUGUGACUGCAUCGCUAGAGUACGGCAGAGGGGGAUGGAAUUCCGCGUGUAGCAGUGAAAUGCGUAGAUAUGCGGAGGAACACCGAUGGCGAAGGCAAUCCCCUGGGCCUGUACUGACGCUCAUGCACGAAAGCGUGGGGAGCAAACAGG